rnacentral:rRNA from 1 species
UCUUUUCCUUUUGUUUCAGCAGCCGCGGUAAUACGUAGGGGGCAAGCGUUAUCCGGAUUUACUGGGUGUAAAGGGAGCGCAGGCGGGAAGACAAGUUGGAAGUGAAAUCCAUGGGCUCAACCCAUGAACUGCUUUCAAAACUGUUUUUCUUGAGUAGUGCAGAGGUAGGCGGAAUUCCCGGUGUAGCGGUGGAAUGCGUAGAUAUCGGGAGGAACACCAGUGGCGAAGGCGGCCUACUGGGCACCAACUGACGCUGAGGCUCGAAAGUGUGGGUAGCAAACAGG